GUGGUAGCUCAGUGGCAGAGUGCUUGCUUAGCAUGCACAAGGUCCUGGGUUCAAUUCUCAGUACCACA
rfam:Heterocephalus glaber contig114838, whole genome shotgun sequence.